rnacentral:misc_RNA from 1 species
GAUGAAGAACGAAGCGAAAUGCGAUAAGUAGUGUGAAUUGCAGAAUUCAGUGAAUCAUCGAAUCUUUGAACGCACAUUGCGCCCCUUGGUAUCCCGAGGGGCAUGCCUGUUCGAGCGUCAUUUCACCACUCAAGCCUGGCUUGGUGUUGGGCGACGUCCCCUUUGGGGACGCGCCUCGAAACGCUCGGCGGCGUGGCACCGGCUUUAAGCGUAGCAGAAUCUUUCGCUUUGGAAGUCGGGGCCCCGUCUGCCGGAAGACCUACUCGCAAGGUUGACCUCGGAUCAGGCAGGGAUACCCGCUGAACUUAAGCAUAUCAAUAAGCGGAGGA